CUUCAGGUGACUGUGACAGCCCAAGUUCACCAACUAAUAUAUCAGAUGUUUCAUCACAUAGUGGAGGUUCUGCAUAUUCUCCUGAAGUAUCAUCUGCCUCGCCUCACUCUGGUAAAAGCAUUCGGUCGCUGUCAUCUCGCACUCUACAAGAAUUAGAAAAAAUGUUGCAUGCAAAGAAGAUGGCUUACAAUGCUGCCUGCGCUGGAAAUUUUUCCGAAAAGCAGAGAAAGUUGAGAAAGCAGUGUGUCGAGAUUGAGAAAGAAAUAGCACUGAAGAAAGGGUCCAACUACUACAAGUUUGAUGGUAACCCACCUUCGCCUGCUGAAGAAUCAGCAUUGACCCUGUCAUCUGACCUAGAAAGAGAGAGAAUGCUGGAUGCUGACG